rnacentral:rRNA from 1 species
UACGUAGGGUGCGAGCGUUUGUCCGGAAUUAUUGGGCGUAAAGAGCUCGUAGGCGGUCUGUCGCGUCGGUCGUGAAAACUUGGGGCUUAACCCUGAGCUUGCGGUCGAUACGGGCAUGACUGGAGUUCGGUAGGGGAGACUGGAAUUCCUGGUGUAGCGGUGAAAUGCGCAGAUAUCAGGAGGAACACCAGUAGCGAAGGCGGGUCUCUGGGCAGUAACUGACGCUGAGGAGCGAAAGCGUGGGGAGCGAACAGG